rnacentral:rRNA from 1 species
AACAUUCUGACGGCAACUUGUCAAUCAUCGCAACCGCAAGCCAUGACAUCGCCACAAUUACAAUUUACACCAUGCGGUAGCGCGCCGUACUUAUCCUAUAGAGCACAGCACAGCAUCUGUCGCGAGAGAAUUUCGGUCGUGAGACGGCCGCCUCGCGCCAAACCAAGCCAAGCCUCACUCUAUUAUAAACUCCGGCGGCGCUGCGUGCUUCGAGCAGCCAGCGGGUGGCAUAGGUUGACGAGGACAAAGUCCACGGCGUUCAUCCAUCGUCCUCCAUGGCGCCGCAGCACUUCCUGGUCGUCGCGUUCCCGGGCCAGGGCCACAUCAACCCGGCGCGCGCUCUGGCGGAGCGCCUCGCGCGGGCCGCACCGGGCGCGCGGGUCACGCUCUCGGCCGCCGUGUCCGCGCACCGUCGCAUGUUCCCCUCGAUCGCGUCCCCCGACGACGAGGUCCACGACGGUGUUAUCUCCUACAUCCCCUACUCGGAGGGCUACGACCACGGCUUCAGCCUCUUGGCUGGCGACGGGGACGAAGUGCAGAGAUACGCGGAGGUGUUCGGCCGCGUAGGUCGCGUGACCUUCUCGGCGGUGCUGGACCGCCUCGCGGCGCGGGGCCGGCCCGUCACGUGCGUCCUGUACGCCAUGCUCAUGUGGUGGGCCGCCGAGGUCGCCCGUGAGCGCGGCGUGCCCCGGGCGCUCUACUGGAUCCGGCCGGCCACGAUGCUGGCCGUGUACUAUCACUACUUCCAUGGGUACGAGAGGCUCGUGACGGAGCACGCUGCCGAGCCGGGGUUCACGGUGUCUAUGCCGGGCCUCCCUCCGAUGGUGAUCCGUGACCUCCCGAGCUUCUUCACCAACCUUACGGACGGCAGGAUAGUCGCGACAUUCGGGGACAUCCGCAGUGUUAGAAAUAGAGAUAGAACUACCUAUUGUAAUCUCAACAAACUCUAUUCUUUCUCUCUUCCGUAGCUUAUCUCCUCCUCUCUUGUAACAACCGAAUCGUGAUCGAUCGGUAUUGCCUUGUAAGCCACGACAGGGGCCGUUCCUGUCUCAUAUCAAUAUAAACCAACGCGGCUUCUCAUUGAGGAGUAGGAACGCUUCC